rnacentral:lncRNA from 1 species
UUCCGAGAGGAGAGAAUAUGACUUUGUGCUGGCUAAUCUUUACAUUGCAUUUAGAGGGGGUUGAUGGGGUGUAUAAUUUACUGUUCGAAUUUCACAUUUUUACAAUCUUGCUCAUUUCCAUUUUGAUCAACCUUAGCGAAUGAAAGGCCAAGAAUGCAACGUCUGCCACGCCCACUGUAGCGCAGCGUGGAAUCUUGCUUCGCGUUGAUGCAGACAACUAGUUCCACAAGGCGAACCCGCUCCGAGUAACCGCAGCCUCGAGCCCAGAUGCGACUCUGUCUCCUCUGGGGCGCGUUGGGCGGGAGGCUAUGAUAAAGACUGAACUUGGUAACUUGCACACAGUAUAACAUAAACGCAAUUGAAUGCAAGUUAUAGCAGGGUUGGAUCGUUGUAAUUCUCGACAUUGAACCCUGAUUUUAACCUCACCAGCAGCCGAUACAGACAGACAAAAAGGACCGCUUCUUGUUCCUCCCGAAUCGCCUUUGAAUGUGAGCUGUCCGCGGUACCUGGACGGGAAAGAUGCAGCAAAGAAGAUGCAGCUUUUUUAUGGUUUUAUCCUUUUUACUACAGAUGGGAAACGCAGAUGUUUUUUCUGGUGACCAUGACCGCUACACGACCAGGACCGGUGAGGGGAGGAGGUGGUCGGACAGCCCAGUCCUGGUGUACCGUCACGUGGACCAAGAUGGCCAGGAGAGGACCCUGAGUCUGGAGACACCCGGGUGGCAGCGUGGUGGGGACAGAGACAGUCUCCAUGCCUUGGUUAACACCCUCAGUGCCCAGCACCAGGCCAGACUGGACAGCUUCAGGGACAUGGCCAGGGUGGACAGCCUCCUCACCCAGUCCUCCCAGACCCAUGCCAGGCUGGCUAAGCUGAUGCCCGCUGCCCUGCUGGAGUCCCAGUCCCGCCAGGCGCCCCGUGGGCAUGGAGCCGUCAGCCUGUUGGCACAGCCGGAGCAGGAGGUACGGGUGGAGAACGCUCCGGUCUCAGCGCGCUGUAUGGUCACCGUGGUGAGUAGAGUGUAGAUAUUUCCCAUCUACACUCUGGAUGUAUUGAUGGGUCGCUCCACCAGUCCCUUUGGAGAUGUGUACCUUGGUAAAAAAACAGGUUGACAGUAGCAGGGUUGACAGUAACAGGGUUGACCACCAGUGCCUUUGGAGAUGUGUACCUUGGUAAAAAAAAAAACAGGUUGACAGUAGCAGGGUUGACAGUAACAGGGUUGACCACCAGUGCCUUUGGAGAUGUGUACCUU